rnacentral:rRNA from 1 species
GAAGGGGGCUUGCGGCAGCCUAACACAUGCAAGUCGAGCGGAACGAGUUAUCUGAACCUUCGGGGAACGAUAACGGCGUCGAGCGGCGGACGGGUGAGUAAUGCCUAGGAAAUUGCCCUGAUGUGGGGGAUAACCAUUGGAAACGAUGGCUAAUACCGCAUGAUGCCUACGGGCCAAAGAGGGGGACCUUCGGGCCUCUCGCGUCAGGAUAUGCCUAGGUGGGAUUAGCUAGUUGGUGAGGUAAGGGCUCACCAAGGCGACGAUCCCUAGCUGGUCUGAGAGGAUGAUCAGCCACACUGGAACUGAGACACGGUCCAGACUCCUACGGGAGGCAGCAGUGGGGAAUAUUGCACAAUGGGCGCAAGCCUGAUGCAGCCAUGCCGCGUGUGUGAAGAAGGCCUUCGGGUUGUAAAGCACUUUCAGUCGUGAGGAAGGUGGUGUAGUUAAUAGCUGCAUUAUUUGACGUUAGCGACAGAAGAAGCACCGGCUAACUCCGUGCCAGCAGCCGCGGUAAUACGGAGGGUGCGAGCGUUAAUCGGAAUUACUGGGCGUAAAGCGCAUGCAGGUGGUUUGUUAAGUCAGAUGUGAAAGCCCGGGGCUCAACCUCGGAAUUGCAUUUGAAACUGGCAGACUAGAGUACUGUAGAGGGGGGUAGAAUUUCAGGUGUAGCGGUGAAAUGCGUAGAGAUCUGAAGGAAUACCGGUGGCGAAGGCGGCCCCCUGGACAGAUACUGACACUCAGAUGCGAAAGCGUGGGGAGCAAACAGGAUUAGAUACCCUGGUAGUCCACGCCGUAAACGAUGUCUACUUGGAGGUUGUGGCCUUGAGCCGUGGCUUUCGGAGCUAACGCGUUAAGUAGACCGCCUGGGGAGUACGGUCGCAAGAUUAAAACUCAAAUGAAUUGACCGGGGCCCGCACAAGCGGUGGGAGCAUGUGGUUUAAUUUCGA